rnacentral:rRNA from 1 species
UGAUCUAGCCUACCGCGUGAGUGAUGAAGGCCUGUGGGUUGUAAACCUCUUUUCUCUGGAAGAAGUUCUGACGGUACUUGAGGAAUACCCCUCGGCUAUCUCUGUGCCCACCCCCGCGGUAAUACAGAGGAUGCAAGCGUUAUCCGGAAUCACUGGGCAUAAAGCGUCUGUAGGUGGUUUGGUAAGUCUGCUGUUAAAGACUGGGGCUCACCCCCAGAAAAGCAGUGGACUCUGCCAGACUUGAGUGUGGUAGAGGUAAAGGGAAUUCCUAGUGUAGCGGUGAUUUGCAUAUAUUUUAAGAAGAACACCUGUGGCAAACGCACUUUACUGGCCCUUAACUGACACUGAGACACGACAGCUAGGGGAGCAAAUGGGAUUAUAUACCCCAAUACUCCUAGCCAUAAAAUAUGGAUACUACAUGUUGCACGUAUUAACCCGUGCACUAUCGUAACUAAUGCGUUAAGUAUCCCGCCUGGGAAGUACGCUCGCAAGAGUGAAACU